UCCGGUCCCGCCCCGGAAGUCGCGGAGGCGGGCUGCGGAGCGUGCGCCGAAGUGUCGGGCCGGCCGGCUGGGGCUUGCGGAGAGCGGGUCAGGCUUCCCUGGCGCGCUUGAUGCCACCGCCUGGAGGACUCUCGCGGGGCGGCGGGGAACCGCGGUUGGCCGCGUUCUCCGGGCGCUCCCUGGCCUCGCCAUGCGCCUGAUGUCAGCUUCACCCCGCCGCCCCAGGCUGUGCAGCCUAAGACGACCCCGACGUCGCCCCCGCACCCCUCAGCGGCUACUUACCCCACGGAGAGCCACCGCUCCACCUGUUUCAGGUCUUACCGGAGAUUUCCCCAGACCACCCUGUCACUGCCCCAGACCACCCCUGUCACGUUCUCACUCUUCCCGAGCGGUCGUUCCCGAGAAGCUCGCCACAGCCCAUCCCAUCCCAUCACCCUUUCCCUGUAGAAUCUGCAGCAUGGUUGGUUGGUUGGUCUCCCUAGGCUGCACGUGUUUCCCAUAGGUCCAGGCGGCAGAGAUCUUGGCUGUCUUGCUCCUGUCCCCAGACCCCCGCACCUAGGAAAGUAGCACCUGGUGGAGUGGCAGCGUGUCCUUUAAAAGCAGCCCCAAGCAUGGCUUGGUAAUUGGGACCCAGAGCUGCAGUGCUUCAAAUGGUGUGGGUAAGACCACUUCCCCAUCCUUAAUCCUUACUUCCAGGAAGGCUAGGAUGGAGCCAUUACCUGGAAAUGGGCUCCGCAGUAGUCAUCAGGGAUAGGUAAUCCUGCCAUUUAGGUAGCAUGCAUUGUCUUUAGUUAUUAGUUAUUUUAAUUAUUUUAAUGUCAAACAUGUAGACUGAUGCCAGGUGCUGGCAAACAGCAGGCAAUGCAUGACUGAACCUUUUUUUUUUUUUUUUUUUGUGGUGGUGGGAAUUGAACCUAGGGCCUUAUGCAUGCAAGGAAAGCACUUUGCCAACUGAGUUACAUCCCCAGCCCCCAGAACUGAGCCUUUUCCAACUGUUAAUACUAAUUUGUUUUUCAGCAGUCAGCUCAAAUGUCAUUUAUCCAACUCUCCAGACUACAUCAACUUUUUGUCGUUUGGGCUUCCUGUACUUUUUUAUAACUCAUAAGUAUUUAUUUAUUUUAUGAAACCACUUAGGUCUGUUUUUGAAACUGGGUGGAUUGGGAUCUUUGGUGGAUUUGUUGUCAUUCCUGGAGUUUGUAGCACCUGCCAAUAAUAAAUGUGUUUGGAGUUAACUGAAUGAUAACGUUUUGAAUUGCAAAAGCUGAAUGAACACCUUAUGUUCACAUUAGUACCCAAGGCCGCUAUUGGAAAAACAAAACCCUCAAGAUUUCUCUCCAGGGUCACAUAUU
rnacentral:lncRNA from 1 species